AAGGUCUUGAGUUAAAUUCAACUAAGUAUAUUGUUAUGUGGUUUGGUAGAUUGGUCCAUUGAAUUGGAUGGAGAAUCAUCCUACUCGAGGACAAGGAGGCAAAGCAGUUCUGAAAAGGGAAAAAUAAGUUUCUGAAAUGAGUUCAUAUACUUUUUAUCCCAUCAAUAAACAUUUACACAAGGGGCUGGUACAAAUAUGCUUUUCUAUGCUCAAGGAUUUUUAUUUCCCUUAUUUGGUACACUAUGCUUAGGGAUUUGGAGCUUAUGGCUCCAAGAUUUAUAAUAGCACAGUUGUCAAAUUAGUUACUGUAAAUGCUAGUACAAGGAGUAGUUGUCAUUAAUUUUACUUGUAGGUACAUAACAGUAGUGAUGUUGGGGUAAUGUCGGGGUAAGGAACCUGACACCUAAAUUAUUUAAUUGAGACAACUCUCAAAUUAUUCGGUGCAUUCGUUGUUUGUACAACACAUUCACCAUGACAUUUGAUUAUAGUGGGAUCCCACUAUAAU
rnacentral:misc_RNA from 1 species